CUUGCACCUUUCAAGCGAGUGGCGAACGGGUGAGUAACACGUGGAUAACCUGCCUCAAGGCUGGGGAUAACAUUUGGAAACAGAUGCUAAUACCGAAUAAAACUUAGUAUCGCAUGAUACAAAGUUGAAAGGCGCUACGGCGUCACCUAGAGAUGGGUCCGCGGUGCAUUAGUUAGUUGGUGGGGUAAAGGCCUACCAAGACAAUGAUGCAUAGCCGAGUUGAGAGACUGAUCGGCCACAUUGGGACUGAGACACGGCCCAAACUCCUACGGGAGGCUGCAGUAGGGAAUCUUCCACAAUGGGCGAAAGCCUGAUGGAGCAACGCCGCGUGUGUGAUGAAGGCUUUAGGGUCGUAAAGCACUGUUGUAUGGGAAGAAAUGCUAGAAUAGGGAAUGAUUCUAGUUCGACGGUACCAUACCAGAAAGGGACGGCUAAAUACGUGCCAGCAGCCGCGGUAAUACGUAUGUCCCGAGCGUUAUCCGGAUUUAUUGGGCGUAAAGCGAGCGCAGACGGUUGAUUAAGUCUGAUGUGAAAGCCCGGAGCUCAACUCCGGAAUGGCAUUGGAAACUGGUUAACUUGAGUGUUGUAGAGGUAAGUGGAACUCCAUUGGUAAGCGG
rnacentral:rRNA from 1 species